CAGGUAGUAGUGGGUGUAGCGUACCUACUAGCCUACGACGGGUACGGGUUGUGAGAGCAAGAGCCCGGAGAUGGAUUCUGAGACACGAAUCCAGGCCCUACGGGGUGCAGCAGGCGCGAAAACUUUACAAUGCUGGAAACAGCGAUAAGGGGACCUCGAGUGCCAGGUUACAAAUCUGGCUGUCGUGAUGCCUAAAAAGCAUUGCAUAGCAAGGGCCGGGCAAGACCGGUGCCAGCCGCCGCGGUAACACCGGCGGCUCGAGUGGUAACCGUUAUUAUUGGGUCUAAAGGGUCUGUAGCCGGCCGGAUAAGUCUCUUGGGAAAUCUGGCAGCUUAACUGUCAGGCUUUCAGGAGAUACUGUCUGGCUCGAGGCCGGGAGAGGUGAGAGGUACUUCAGGGGUAGGGGUGAAAUCUUGUAAUCCUUGAAGGACCACCAGUGGCGAAGGCGUCUCACCAGAACGGACCUGACGGCAAGGGACGAAAGCUAGGGGCACGAACCGGAUUAGAUACCCGGGUAGUCCUAGCCGUAAACGAUACCCGCUAGGUGUCGGCAACGGUGCGACCGUUGUCGGUGCCGUAGGGAAGCCGUGAAGCGAGCCACCUGGGAAGUACGGCCGCAAGGCUGAAACUUAAAGGAAUUGGCGGGGGAGCAC
rnacentral:rRNA from 1 species